rnacentral:rRNA from 1 species
AGCGAACGCUGGCGGCAGGCCUAACACAUGCAAGUCGAACGAACCUUUCGGGGUUAGUGGCGGACGGGUGAGUAACACGUGGGAACGUGCCUUUAGGUUCGGAAUAACUCAGGGAAACUUGUGCUAAUACCGAAUGUGCCCUUCGGGGGAAAGAUUAAUCGCCUUUAGAGCGGCCCGCGUCUGCUUAGCUAGUUGGUUGAGGUAAUGGCUCACCAAGGCGACGAUCAGUAGCUGGUCUGAGAGGAUGAUCAGCCACAUUGGGACUGAGACACGGCCCAAACUCCUACGGGAGGCAGCAGUGGGGAAUCUUGCGCAAUGGGCGAAAGCCUGACGCAGCCAUGCCGCGUGAAUGAUGAAGGUCUUAGGAUUGUAAAAUUCUUUCACCGGGGACGAUAAUGACGGUACCCGGAGAAGAAGCCCCGGCUAACUUCGUG